AUUGAACGCUGGCGGCAUGCCUUACACAUGCAAGUCGAACGGCAGCACGGGAGCAAUCCUGGUGGCGAGUGGCGAACGGGUGAGUAAUAUAUCGGAACGUGCCCAGUCGUGGGGGAUAACGCAGCGAAAGCUGUGCUAAUACCGCAUACGAUCUAAGGAUGAAAGCGGGGGAUCGCAAGACCUCGCGCGAUUGGAGCGGCCGAUAUCCGAUUAGCUAGUUGGUGGGGUAAAGGCCCACCAAGGCGACGAUCUGUAGCUGGUCUGAGAGGACGAGCAGCCAGACUGAAACUGAGACACGGUCCAGACGCCUACGGGAGGCAGCAGUGGGGAAUUUUGGACAAUGGGCGCAAGCCUGAUUCAGCAAUGCCGCGUGCAGGAUGAAGGCCUUCGGGUUGUAAACUGCUUUUGUACGGAACGAAACGGCCCUUUCUAAUACAUGGGGCUAAUGACGGUACCGUAAGAAUAAGCACCGGCUAACUACGUGCCAGCCGCCGCGGUAAAAC
rnacentral:rRNA from 1 species